CGUAAGCGUGGCGUAGGUGGUUUGUUAAGUCUGAUGUGAAAGACCUGGGCUCAACCUGGGAAUGGCAUUGGAAACUGGCUGACUAGAGUGCGGUAGAGGGUAGUGGAAUUCCCGGUGUAGCAGUGAAAUGCGUAGAUAUCGGGAGGAACAUCUGUGGCGAAGGCGACUACCUGGACCAGCACUGACACUGAGGCACGAAAGCGUGGGGAGCAAACACGAUUAUAUACCCUGGUAGUCCACGCCCUAAACGAUGCGAACUGAAUGUUGGGAGCAACUUGGCUCUCAGUAUCGAAGCUAAC
rnacentral:rRNA from 1 species